UGCAAUUUAGGUUGAUUACCCUGAUAUUAACCAUAAAUCAUAAUUCAUCUAUUAUUACAAAGCAGCGAACACAUUUGAUUCAAAUACCCAUUUAUUAAUCAGCAGGCUUCUUGAUUCGGUGUUGGAACCACUCAUAAUCCCUGAUUGAUUUCAUAUAUUUUUGGAAGGUAAUGGCACCUGCCUCCGAUAUUCUGCCAAAGCCCACAUGGGGAAAAUAUUCCUAAAUAAUGCAUAGUGUAGCAUGCAAUUCCUCAUGAAUGAUCCUGAGAGCUCCUGCUGUGGAAAAUCACCGAGUUCUGUUUGAGAAUUGAUUAAUAACUUUGCAGCACGAUGAAGGGGUGUAGGGUCUCUCUUUGCCUUGUUUACAAGAAAAGUUUGAACAACUUUGAAUGAAAAAAGCAA
rnacentral:misc_RNA from 1 species